rnacentral:rRNA from 1 species
CAGUCGCCGCGGUAAUACAGAGGGUGCGAGCGUUAAUCGGAUUUACUGGGCGUAAAGCGUGCGUAGGCGGCUUUUUAAGUCGGAUGUGAAAUCCCUGAGCUUAACUUAGGAAUUGCAUUCGAUACUGGUUAGCUAGAGUGUGGGAGAGGAUGGUAGAAUUCCAGGUGUAGCGGUGAAAUGCGUAGAGAUCUGGAGGAAUACCGAUGGCGAAGGCAGCCAUCUGGCCUAAUACUGACGCUGAGGUACGAAAGCAUGGGGAGCAAACAGGAUUAGAUACCCGCGUAGUCCCUGUCUCUUAUAC